AACGAACGCUGGCGGCAGGCCUAACACAUGCAAGUCGAACGAAGUCUUCGGACUUAGUGGCGGACGGGUGAGUAACACGUGGGAACGUGCCUUUAGGUUCGGAAUAACUCAGGGAAACUUGUGCUAAUACCGAAUGUGCCCUUCGGGGGAAAGAUUUAUCGCCUUUAGAGCGGCCCGCGUCUGAUUAGCUAGUUGGUGAGGUAAAGGCUCACCAAGGCUACGAUCAGUAGCUGGUCUGAGAGGAUGACCAGCCACAUUGGGACUGAGACACGGCCCAAACUCCUACGGGAGGCAGCAGUGGGAAAUCUUGCGCAAUGGGCGAAAGCCUGACGCAGCCAUGCCGCGUGGAUGAUGAAGGUCUUAGGAUUGUAAAAUCCUUUCACCGGUGAAGAUAAUGACUGUAGCCGGAGAAGAAGCCCCGGCUAACUUCGUGCCAGCCGCCGCCGUAAAAC
rnacentral:rRNA from 1 species